GACGAACGCUGGCGGCGUGCUUAACACAUGCAAGUCGAACGGAAAGGCCCUGCUUUUGUGGGGUGCUCGAGUGGCGAACGGGUGAGUAACACGUGAGUAACCUGCCCUUGACUUUGGGAUAACUUCAGGAAACUGGGGCUAAUACCGGAUAGGAGCUCCUGCUGCAUGGUGGGGGUUGGAAAGUUUUGGCGGUUGGGGAUGGACUCGCGGCUUAUCAGCUUGGUGGUGGGGUAGUGGCUUACCAAGGCUUUGACGGGUAGCCGGCCUGAGAGGGUGACCGGCCACAUUGGGACUGAGAUACGGCCCAGACUCCUACGGGAGGCAGCAGUGGGGAAUAUUGCACAAUGGGCGGAAGCCUGAUGCAGCAACGCCGCGUGCGGGAUGACGGCCUUCGGGUUGUAAACCGCUUUCGCCUGUGACGAAGCGUGAGUGACGGUAAUGGGUAAAGAAGCACCGGCUAACUACGUG
rnacentral:rRNA from 1 species